rnacentral:sRNA from 1 species
UUGGUUAGUUUGGCUAAGAGUUGGUCAAUUUUACUCUUUCCAAAAAACCAACUUGUAUGAUGAUUCAUUCUCUGCAUUGUUUUUUUGAUUAGGUUUUUGUUUGUUUGUUUGAGCAGUGACCCUGGGCUGCCGAGCCCUUGACAUCUGCUAGAGAAUUUCAGGGGUGAUUUCUAGUUGCCUCUUGCACUCGGUGUUCGCCUGGUGCCUCGGUUUAUCGAUGUCUACUGUGGACUGUAGCAAGGGAGGAGGAUUGUGGACCUCCCUUUCAGAUCUGCCACUUCCCUGAGCUCUGCUGGUGCAGCCUGAUGUGGUCAUCGAGGUGCAGCCCAAUACCGUAUUGAAGGAGUAAUUCCAGAAUUACCAGCUCACCUCUCUGAUUUCCUCUACAAAUCUGAACACAGAGUUUCAUGGGAUAAAUCUUUGAAAGCAUUCAACAUGAUACACAAGAUUGAUUCGGAUACACUUAUAUGCCACACCAUCACACAGAGUUUUGCCAUGGGCUCAAUUUCCCCGAGAGACUUUAUCGACUUAGUACACAUCAAGCACCAGGACGGGAAUAUGGACAUUAUCAGUAGUAAGUUGAAACAUUUUGCCCGUGUUUUAGAAUUACUAUGUAUCAUUAAAAUUUUUUGCCUUUAAUUAUUAAUGUUAACAGUUUAGAAGAAACUGUAUUUUCAAUUCUUUUUUGUUUGUUUGUUAGUUGUUUGUUUGUUUAUUCAGUGCAACCAAAAAGCUUGUGUCCUAUACACAGGCCAGGUAUUGUGCCUAACACAUGAGGUGCUGUUUAGAAAGUUCCCCCUCCACAUUUGCAGUAUGAACCGUGAACUCAAUAGAGAUAGAUGACUGUAAGCUAAAACGUCAGUGUAUACAUUUGUAAUCCUAUAAAACAAAACUAGCUUUUAUAUAUGACUUUAUACUUGGCUUGUUGAAAAUAGGCAUGUAUAUAUUAAUUCUUACAGUACUAAGUGUAAAAUAUGAAAAUACUGAAUGAAUAGUGCUGGAUCGGUCACUCCUUAAAUGUACUAUUACUAUAUCUUCUCUAGGGAGUUCAAGUCUUGAUCUAACCCUGCACCUCUCUGCAGUAAUACGACUCUGUGACAUGCAAACGUAUCGUUUGCCAACUUGUGUUAUUGACCCAAAACUUCCUCACCCCAUCAGUUCGGACUCCGGAAGCUUAGGAUCACUAAGAGUACUUUGGCAGGAUAGUGGCGAAGGUCCCAGUUUCCCUCUUGAAUUUGAUUCCACCUUAUAAUUUCUAUCAGAAUGUUUCCUCUUCUGUAAGCUACUCAGAGAUAGACAGUGAAACUGCUUUAUUACUUGCCAUGGGAUGCAA